rnacentral:rRNA from 1 species
GAUGAACGCUAGCUACAGGCUUAACACAUGCAAGUCGAGGGACCGGCGCACGGGUGAGUAACACGUAUCCACCCUGACCUUUACUCGGGGAUAGCCUUUCGAAAGAACGAUUAAUACCCGAUAUAAAGGAUGGGGAUGCGUUCCAUUAGGUUGUUGGGGAGGUAACGGCCCACCAAGCCUUCGAUGGAUAGGGGUUCGGAGAGGAAGGUCCCCCACAGUGGAACUGAGACACCGUCCAAACUCCUACGGGAGGCAGGAGUUAGGAAUGCUGGGCAAUGGGCGUUAGCCUGAACCUGCCAAGUAGCGUGAAGGAGUACGGCUUAUGGGUCGUAAACUUCUUUUAUAUAAGAAUAUGUAUUAUAUGAGUAAGGAACGGCUAACUCCGUGCCAGCAGCCGCGGUAAUAC